GUACUGCUUUGAGUACUAGUCUUCACUGCAGAGUGAGCUAAAAUCACCCUGAGAACCUCAAGAAAGAAAUUACCCAGGGAUGGUUCUAGAAGAUGGAGCACUGUGGGGAGAGGCUAAAGAAUGGGCUGGGUUGUUGGGAAGGCUCCCUUCAGGGUGAAAGGUGGGUGGGGGGUGUUCUUAGAGAUUUGCUGGUGAAAGAGAGGCAGCGUGGGCCCGGGGGAGUCCCAGCAAAACAGGGGCAGCCCAAUGACAGGCCCCCGGCCCCGGCCCCCACCCUGAGCCGCUCUGCAAAGGAGGGCCCGAGCCAGACCCUCACCCUCCGCAGUGCAAACCGAGUCACAAAAUGCUACACCCGGGCGAUCACAAGCUACAGAUCCACUCUCAGAAGAACACGUAAAAUGAAAACCAAAACAUUCCAGGCACUCCCCAUUUCCUCUUUUCAAGAAAAAAAAAAAAAAAAAGAAACCAAAAGCAUAAUGCAGUGACUCCAAACUCCAUUAAACAUCCUCAAAAACAUGUUGCAAUAUUUUUUAAAUGAAUCACAGCUUCACUAAAACAAUGGAUAAGCUAAGGGAAGAAAGGGAAAAUCACUGACCACGGGAAGAAAAGAAAAAUACAGAAGUGUCUCGGAAACGACCCAAUCACGCGGUAACAAGGAGGAGUAAAUUCAAAUGAAAAUGCAGUAAGAGAUACUGGACACAGACAGAACACAAAGGAAAUAAAAGGAGGUAGAAGGUAACAGGUGUCAGACCGCAAGCGGCCGAAGGGCACAGCAGAAAAUGUGGAAAACGCAGGAGCAGACGGAGAACAAAGGAGCUGCCGCUAGACCCGACAUCCAGCCACAGCCCUGCCUUGCUUCUCGUUUAUGGGAUUCCAGGCAUCUCCCCGCAUCUAUUCUGUUUCAUUAGUAAGGACUGCAAAGGUGAGGCUGCCGUGGAAAUCACGUUUCCUAUAACGCCGUUGACUGUGCUUCCAAAGCAAAAACCAAAACACUCCAACCGAGUCAAGCUGGGACCAAAGACUCUGAGCACAGUGGGCAAAUGAUGGCCCUUAAGCCAAAUCCAGCUCACUGCCAAUUUUUGUAAAUAAAGCUUUACUGGAACA